AAUGAACGCUGGCGGCAGGCCUAAUACAUGCAAGUCGAACGGAGCGGCGGACGAGGGAGUAAUGCCUAGGAAUCUACCCGGGGGUGGCGGACAACGUCCGGAAGCGGGCACUAAUGCCACAUGAUUUCAAGUGAGCCUAGGUCGGAGUAGCUAGUUGGUGGGGUAAAGGCCUACCAAGGCGACGAUCCGUAACUGGUCUGAGAGGAGGAUCCGCCACACUGGAACUGAGACACGGUCCAGACUCCGACGGGAGGCAGCAGUGGGGAAUAUUGGACAAUGGGCGAAAGCCUGAUCCAGCCAUGCCGCGUGUGUGAAGAAGGUCUUCGGAUUGUAAAGCACUUUAAGUUGGGAGGCGUUACCAACAGAAUAAGCACCGGCUAACUACGUGCCAGCAGCCGCGGUAAUUC
rnacentral:rRNA from 1 species